rnacentral:rRNA from 1 species
UCCGUAGGUGAACCUGCGGAGGGAUCAUUACAAGAACGCCCGGGCUUCGGCCUGGUUAUUCAUAACCCUUUGUUGUCCGACUCUGUUGCCUCCGGGGCGACCCUGCCUUCGGGCGGGGGCUCCGGGUGGACACUUCAAACUCUUGCGUAACUUUGCAGUCUGAGUAAACUUAAUUAAUAAAUUAAAACUUUUAACAACGGAUCUCUUGGUUCUGGCAUCGAUGAAGAACGCAGCGAAAUGCGAUAAGUAAUGUGAAUUGCAGAAUUCAGUGAAUCAUCGAAUCUUUGAACGCACAUUGCGCCCCCUGGUAUUCCGGGGGGCAUGCCUGUUCGAGCGUCAUUUCACCACUCAAGCCUCGCUUGGUAUUGGGCAACGCGGUCCGCCGCGUGCCUCAAAUCGUCCGGCUGGGUCUUCUGUUCCCUAAGCGUUGUGGAAACUAUUCGCUAAAGGGUGUUCGGGAGGCUACGCCGUAAAACAACCCCAUUUCUAAGGUUGACCUCGGAUCAGGUAGGGAUACCCGCUGAACUUAAGCAUAUCAAUAAGCGGAGG